CCUACGGGGCUCAGCAGUGGGGUAUAUUGGGCAAUGGAGGAAACUCUGACACAGCAACGCCGCGUGAAGGAUGAAGGUUUUCGGAUUGUACACUUCUGUCGCGAGGGAUGAAGAAUGACGGUACCUCGUAAGAAAGCCCCGGCAAACUACGUGCCAGCAGCCGCGGUAAUACGUAGGGGGCGAGCGUUGUCCGGAAUGACUGGGCGUAAAGGGAGUGUAGGCGGCAUAUUAAGUUAUGUGUGAAAGCCCGCGGCUCAACCGCGGAAUUGCACAUAAAACUGGUAAGCUGGAGUGCAGGAGAGGUAAGUGGAAUUCCCGGUGUAGCGGUGGAAUCCGUAGAUAUCUGGAGGAACAUCAGUGGCGAAGGCGACUAUCUGGCACAUAACUGACGCUGAGGAGCGAAAGCGUGGGUAGCAAACAGGAUUAGAUACCCCUGUAGUC
rnacentral:rRNA from 1 species